rnacentral:rRNA from 1 species
AUUGAACGCUGGCGGCAGGCCUAACACAUGCAAGUCGAGCGAGCGGCGGACGGGGGAGUAAUGUCUGGGAAACUGCCUGAUGGAGGGGGAUAACUACUGGAAACGGUAGCUAAUACCGCAUACCAUCAGAUGUGCCCAGCUGGGUGUAGCUAGUGGGUGGUGUAACGGCUCACCUAGGCGACGAUCCCUAGCUGGGCUGAGAGGAUUACCAGCCACACUGGAACUGAGAGACUGUCCAGACGCCUCCGGGAGGCAGCAGUGGGGAAUUUUGCACAAUGGGCGCAAGCCUGAUGCAGCCAUGCCGCGUGUUUGAAGAAGGCCUUCGGGUUGUAAAGCACUUUCAGCGGGGAGGCGUUACCCGCAGAAGAAGCACCGGCUAACUCCGUGCCAGCCGCCGCGGUAAUAC